rnacentral:rRNA from 1 species
UCCAGACUCCUACGGGAGGCAGCAGUGGGGGAUAUUGGGCAAUGGGGGGAACCCUGAUCCAGCGACGCCGCGUGAGUGAAGAAGUAUUUCGGUAUGUAAAGCUCUAUCAGCAGGGAAGAAGAAAUGACGGUACCUGACUAAGAAGCCCCGGCUAACUACGUGCCAGCAGCCGCGGUAAUACGUAGGGGGCAAGCGUUAUCCGGAUUUACUGGGUGUAAAGGGAGCGUAGACGGCAGCGCAAGUCUGGAGUGAAAUGCCGGGGCCCAACCCCGGAACUGCUCUGGAAACUGUGAAGCUGGAGUGCAGGAGAGGUAAGCGGAAUUCCUGGUGUAGCGGUGAAACGCGUAGAUAUUAGGAAGAACACCAGUGGCGAAGGCGGCUUGCUGGACAGUAACUGACGUUGAGGCUCGAAAGCGUGGGGAGCAAACAGGAUUAGAUACCCCAGUAUA